rfam:Triticum urartu cultivar G1812 contig889756, whole genome shotgun sequence.
UUACUACUCCCUCCAUCCGAAAAUACUUGUUAGAGAAAUUGAUAAAAAAUGUAUGUAUCUAGAACUAAAAUAUGUCUAGAUACAUCCAUUUCUCCGAUGAGUAUUUCUAGACGGAGGGAGUUUUAU